rnacentral:rRNA from 1 species
ACAAGUAGCGGAGCAUGUGGUUUAAUUCGAAGCAACGCGAAGAACCUUACCUAAGCUUGACAUCCCAAUGACAUCUCCUUAAUCGGAGAAUUCCCUUCGGGGACAUUGGUGACAGGUGGUGCAUGGUUGUCGUCAGCUCGUGUCGUGAGAUGUUGGGUUAAGUCCCGCAACGAGCGCAACCCUUGUCUUUAGUUGCCAUCAUUAAGUUGGGCACUCU